GCCGGGCCUGGUGGUGCACACCUGUAAUCCCAGCAACUCGGGAGGCUGAGGCAGGAGGAUGGCGAAUUCAAAGCCACCCUCAGCAAUGGCAAGGUGCUUAGCAACUCAGUGAGACCCUGUCUCUA
rnacentral:sRNA from 1 species